AUUGAACGCUGGCGGCAGGCCUAACACAUGCAAGUCGAGCGGAUGAGUGGAGCUUGCUCCAUGAUUCAGCGGCGGACGGGUGAGUAAUGCCUAGGAAUCUGCCUGGUAGUGGGGGACAACGUUUCGAAAGGAACGCUAAUACCGCAUACGUCCUACGGGAGAAAGCAGGGGACCUUCGGGCCUUGCGCUAUCAGAUGAGCCUAGGUCGGAUUAGCUAGUAGGUGGGGUAAUGGACCACCUAGGCGACGAUCCGUAACUGGUCUGAGAGGAUGAUCAGUCACACUGGAACUGAGACACGGGCCAGACUCCUACGGGAGGCAGCAGUGGGGAAUAUUGGACAAUGGGCGAAAGCCUGAUCCAGCCAUGCCGCGUGUGUGAAGAAGGUCCUCGGAUUGUAAAGCACUUUAAGUUGGGAGGAAGGGCAGUAAGUUAAUACCUUGCUGUUUUGACGUUACCAACAGAAUAAGCACCGGCUAACUUCGUGCCAGCCGCCGCCGUAAGAC
rnacentral:rRNA from 1 species